rnacentral:lncRNA from 10 species
CUUGGCCCCCCACAGUGCAAGGAUUACAGGUAUGAGCCACCAUGCCUGGCCCCUACCCUGCCUAUUGAGAACCAAAAGAAGGAUCCAAAUUCUCCUUAGCUCAACUCGAGCCAUUUCCUGAUUGCUUCAUCAGCAAGGAGCUGGUUAUUGGGCUGUCCAGGCCUCCCAAGCAGCACAGAAAUGAGGCGAAGGAGUUUUCCUGCUGCUCCACUCUGUAAGGAGUUAGAGGGUGAUGUUUGCUCGUUUGCAGAGAGAGAUGCCUUGUAGGCACCUCAGGAUGGAGAGGACCCUGAUUCCAAUGUCCUUUUUUUCUUUAGAAACAGGACCUUGCCCUGUCACUCAGGAUGGAGUUCAGUGGUCCAAUUAUGGCUCAUUGUAGCCUCAAACUCCCAGGCUCAAGCAGUCCUACCAUGUCAGCCUUCCCAGUAGCUGGGACCACAGGUAAGCAUCGUGACACUCAGUGAAUUUUGUUUUUAUUUUUUUGUAGAGAUGGGGCCUCAGUAUGUUGCCACGGCUGACCUUGAACUCCUGCACUCAAGGGAUUUUCCUGCCCUGGCCUCCCAAAGUAUUGGUAUUACAGGCAUGAGCCAUUGUGCCCACCGUCUCUGGUUCUUAACCUUCUACUUCCCUCUUCCAGUUUUAAAGAAUGCUUGUAAUUACAUGGGCUCUCCUAGAUACUCCAGGAUAAUCUUGUUUUAAGGUCAGCUGAUGAGCAACAUUAAUUUUAUCUGCACUCUUAAUUCCCCCUUCCUAUGUAAUUGUGCUGUGUAACAUAGGACAUGAGCAAUUGGUGGGGGUGGGGGUUAUUACUUUGGCCACCACAGUAUUUUAUGCCAGGUACUCAGCUAAGCACUGGUGAAUUAAGCAUGAAUAACACACACUCCCUAAUCUCCAUCCAUUCAUGGGAGGAGCACCUCACCUGCCAUGCUCCUGAGAAUCUGGGGAGUCAAAGAAGUCUUCCAUGAGGAGGUGAUGCCAAAGCGGACAAGUGACAGAGUCGAAGCUAGCUAGGAAGAGAGUAGAGGUUUAAGGGGAAGCGUAUUAUAAGCAGAGGAUAUCACCCACUUCAGAGACUCCCAGAGGAGAAAGAGUGUGUGUUCAAAGGGCAGAUGAGGCUCAGUUGGACUCCAUAGCAGAUGAAAUGGAGAGGGGCAAGCAAUGAGGCUGCCUUGCAAGGCAGGGCAGAGCAGGGGCUGUUGAAGGGUUUGGACUUAAUCCCUGAGGCAAGGAGAAGUGAUGUAAAUGGGGGAGUAACAUGAUGAGAUUAAUGGAUUAGAGACAUGGCUCAGGCUGCUGUAGAGAAGGCACCAGGGAGAGCAGAUGGCUCAAUGGGUGUGUAGGAGACCUCUCACUGAGUUUAGGGAGAGGUUUUUAAAACAGAAGAAGUUUGAGUAAUUUAAAUGAUGAUGGGAAGGAGCUAAAAGUAGGGGAUAGGUUAAAGAUACAGGAAAGUGGGAGGAAGAACUGACAAGUGAGGUUCCAGAGAGGGCAGGAGAAGAGGAGAUUCCCAUAGGGGGAUUAACACUUUCUUUUCUUUUUUCUUUCUAAGACAGGGUCUCACUCUGUCGUCCAGGCUGGAGUGCAGUGGCACAAUCUUGGCUCACUGUAGUGUAGGCUUCCCAGGCUCAAGGGAUUCUCCCACCCCAGACUCCCAAGUAGCUGGAACUACGGGUGUGCACCACCACCACACCUGGCUAAUGUUUCUUUUUUUGGUAGACACAGAGUCUCACUAUUUUGCGCUGAUUGGUCUCCAACUCCUGGCCUCAAGCGAUCCUCCUGCCUAGGCUUCCCAAAUUGCUGGGAUUACAGGCAUGAGCCAUAAUGCCUGGCCUCUGCUAGUUCUGUAUUCUCUAGAGUUGUCUUUACUUUGUGCUAGCGUGUCCCUCAUUGUGCUAAUCCUCUGUAAAAAUUAAUACCUUUUUUUCUUUUCGAGAUGGAGUUUCACUCUUGUUGCCCAGGCUGGAGUGCAAUGGCGCUAUCUCGGCUCAGCGCAACCUCCACCUGCCGGGUUCAAGCGAUUCUCCUGCCUCAGCCUCCCGAGUAAUUGGGAUUACAGGCAUGUGCCACCAUGCCCAGCUAAUUUUGUAUUUUUAGUAGAGAUGGGGUUUCUCCAUGCUGGUCAGGCUGGUCUCAAACUCCUGACCUCAGGUGAUCUGCCUUGGCCUCCCAAAGUGCUGGGAUUACAGGCAUGAGCCAUUGUGCCUGGCCAAAAUUAAUACUUUUUAUAUUAAAUUUACAUAUAUAUACAUUUUUUUCUUUUUGAUACCGGGUCUCACACUGUCACCCAGGCUGGAGUACAGUGGCAUAACCUCUGCUCACUGCAGCCUCCACCUGCCAGGCUCAAGCAAUUCUCCUGCCUCAGCCUCCCGAGUAGCUGGGAUUACAGGUAAGUGCCACCACACCCAGCUGAUUUUUGUGUUUUUUGUAGAGACGAGGUUUCGCCAUGUUUCCCAGACUGUUCUCAAACUCCUGAGCUCAAAGCAGUCCACCCACCUUGGCCUCCCAAAGUGCUGGGAUUACAGGUGUGAGCCACCUUGCUCAUUCUAGUUUAAACUUUGGAGUGGUUUGUGUCUCCUGAUUGGACUCCUGCAAAUACAGAAUUGAUGCUAGGAAGGGUACCAGGAGAUAGACGCACACAGAUGGGAUUUGGGAAUAGGUUUGGUUAUCCAAGGAGCAGUGCUGAGCUCCUUGCUAAUGGGAUAUGGGAUGCUGGUGAUUUCCAGUAAGUGACCUCAAAAUUACUCAGGCUACCACAUACUGUUGAUUGUGAUGAAAUGCCAGUUGAAGCACCUGUCCUGCGAGCUUAGGGGUGCUACAAGUUGACCACUGCAGCAGUAAAGAUGACUCUGAAGAAUGGCAUGGGAUGGAUCCUUUCGAAUGCACUUGAGCAGCGGUCUCCAACCACAGGGCCACAGAGCUGGAGGUGAGCAGCAGGCGAGUGAAGGGAAACUUCAUCUGUAUUUCUAGCCCCUCCCAUCGCUUGCAUGACCACCUGAGCUCCAUGUCCUGUCAGAUCAGCAGCAGCAUUAUUCUCAUAGAAGCACAAACUGUUGUGAAGUGUGCAUGUGAGGGAUCUAGGUUGUGUACUCCUU